rnacentral:rRNA from 1 species
CCUUGCCAGCCCGCUCAGAAACUCAAAGGAAUUGACGGGGCCCGCACAAGCGGAGGAGCAUGUGGUUAAUUCGAUGAUACGCGAGGAACCUUACCUGGGCUCGAACGUAAGAUGACUGUAGGUGAAAGCUUACAUCUCUUCGGAGCAUUUUACGAGGUGCUGCAUGGUUGUCGUCAGCUCGUGCCGUGAGGUGUCGGGUUAAGUCCCAUAACGAGCGCAACCCCUACCUUUAGUUGCCAUCAGGUAAUGCUGGGGACUCUAAAGGAACUGCCUACGCAAGUAGUGAGGAAGGCGGGGAUGACGUCAAAUCAGCACGGCCCUUACGUCCAGGGCUACACACGUGCUACAAUGGCCGAUACAAAGGGCAGCGACACUGCGAGGUGAAGCCAAUCCCGUAAAAUCGGUCUCAGUCCGGAUUGGAGUCUGCAACUCGACUCCAUGAAGUUGGAAUCGCUAGUAAUCGUGGAUCAGCAUGCCACGGUGAAUACGUUCCCGGGCCUU